rnacentral:rRNA from 1 species
UCGGGAAUUUUGUGCAAUGGGCGAAAGCCUGACGCAGCAACGCCGCGUGAGGGAUGACGGCCUUCGGGUUGUAAACCUCUUUUGUCAGGGAAGAUGAUGACGGUACCUGGCGAAUAAGCCACGGCUAACUACGUGCCAGCAGCCGCGGUAAUACGUAGGUGGCGAGCGUUGUCCGGAUUUACUGGGCGUAAAGAGCGCGCAGGCGGUCGAUUUAGUCGUGUGUGAAAGCCCCCGGCUCAACUGGGGAGGGUCACGCGAUACUGAUCGACUCGAAGGCAGGAGAGGGUAGUGGAAUUCCCGGUGUAGUGGUGAAAUGCGUAGAUAUCGGGAGGAACACCAGUGGCGAAGGCGACUACCUGGCCUGUUCUUGACGCUGAGGCGCGAAAGCUAGGGGAGCAAACGG